rnacentral:rRNA from 1 species
GACGAACGCUGGCGGCGUGCUUAACACAUGCAAGUCGAACGGAAAGGCCCUGCUUUUGUGGGGUGCUCGAGUGGCGAACGGGUGAGUAACACGUGAGUAACCUGCCCUUGACUUUGGGAUAACUUCAGGAAACUGGGGCUAAUACCGGAUAGGAGCUCCUGCUGCAUGGUGGGGGUUGGAAAGUUUCGGCGGUUGGGGAUGGACUCGCGGCUUAUCAGCUUGUUGGUGGGGUAGUGGCUUACCAAGGCUUUGACGGGUAGCCGGCCUGAGAGGGUGACCGGCCACAUUGGGACUGAGAUACGGCCGAGACGCCUACGGGGGGCAGCAGUGGGGAAUAUUGCACAAUGGGCGGAAGCCUGAUGCAGCAACGCCGCGUGCGGGAUGACGGCCUUCGGGUUGUAAACCGCUUUCGCCUGUGACGAAGCGUGAGUGACGGUAAUGGGUAAAGAAGCACCGGCUAACUACGUG